rnacentral:tmRNA from 1 species
GGGGCCGACCUGGUUUCGACGUGGGUGCGGAGUUGGGAUAGGGCAUGCCGAGCACCAGUCCGCUCGUUAAACCACUGGAACAAAGUAACUGCAAACGACGAAAAGUUUGCCCUCGCCGCUUAAACACCGGUGAGCCUCUCAACGGUUGGCCCAUGGGCCGGGCGUGAGCCGCAAGGCAAGCGCUGAGAGGUCAUUCACAUGGGCUGGCUGGCGGAUGGGCCACACAUCCGUUGGCAAGAUCUCGUGGCUGGUUUGCCUGUCAGCGUGCUGCUGCGCGGUCGGGCAGAUGAGACUCAAACCAGACAGCUAAGCGUGUAGAUCUACCUGGCGAUGGCUUGCGGACGGGGGUUCAAUUCCCCCCGGCUCCACCA